AUAGAGGUAGGACGGUUGGUUAGUGCGUCCCGCUUGUAAAGCGGGAAGGUCGGGAGUUCGAGCCCCCCCCUCGCUA
rnacentral:tRNA from 1 species